rnacentral:rRNA from 1 species
UACGUAGGUCGCAAGCGUUGUCCGGAUUUACUGGGCGUAAAGAGCGCGCAGGCGGCUGGUCAAGUCCGAUGUGAAAUCUCCCGGCUCAACUGGGAAACUGCAUCGGAAACUGAUCGGCUUGAAGAUGGGAGAGGGUAGUGGAAUUCCCGGUGUAGUGGUGAAAUGCGUAGAUAUCGGGAGGAACACCAGUGGCGAAGGCGACUACCUGGCCCAUUCUUGACGCUGAGGCGCGAAAAGCUAGGGGAGCGAACGGG